AUGCACUGUGAGGAAGGAGAGCAGGGGGUUCUCCUGUGCCCUCAGCACGUUUCUCUCCCUGCAGGCGCCUUGCUGAAGAUGCUGCAGUCCAGCAUAUUGCUCACGCUUGGACAAACAGCUUGCUCGCCUCAGUGCGCCGCACAGAAAAGACGUGGCACAAACAACCGGUGCCUGUGCAGUGACAAUCUGCCCACCAGCCGCAGAGCACCACCAGAGCGGCCCCUGCCAGGCCUGACGGCUGUCGGGCUCAGCUGCCCCCAGUGCAGCCCCCGUAGCCCACCAGCCCAGGCUCCGUGGCCCCUGGGAAGUACAUCAUGCCCAGUGGCCCCUAUCCACCUUGGGCAUCAACACCUCUUUCAGGGGACAGGAGGGACCCACCUGGUUUGGAAGCUUGCAGUCAUCGGCUGGCACCCAAACAGCAGCACCCUGGCAUCAACACCACCCUCCUGUCCCCCACCACCAUCCUUCAGGGGUUGGCAGUGGCUCCCUCAAAGUGUCACCCGCAGGCAGCCACUGCCUCAGGGAAGCUUGAGAGGCCUGUCAGCCUCCAGCACCAUCUCUGCCCUCACCCUCCCCUCCACCAUCCAUCAGGGGAUGGAAGCGACCCCAGCAGAGUAUAGACCUGGGGACAUCAUCCAACAGACGGACGACCAUUGCCUGGGGGAAGCCAACUGGCCCAGCAGCCCCCUGUCCCCCCCAGGAACUGUCACCAACUUUCCUUCACCAUCCUUCAGGAGGUUGGAGCAGCCCCCACAGGGUGGCAGUUUGAGGGCAUCAUCCGACACCCAGAAAACUACAGCCAGGGGAAAGCAUACCAGGCCCCACAGCUCCCAGCCCCCCACAGCACCAACUCUGCCCUCCCGCUCCUCUCCUCCAUCCUUCAGGAUGUGGGAGUGCCCCCCCCCACAGGGUCGGCAUGGGGGCAACACCUGUAAAACCUCUGCCUGGAAAAAGUAUGACAGGCCCAGCAGCCCCAAGAUCCCCCCAGCACCACCUCUCUCUUCAUGCUCCUCUCCACCAUUGGUCAGGGGGUGGGAGCAUCAUCACUGGUCAACACAACAGGGGGUUCUUUCUUUAACAUCCUUAUUACACCUUCCGAACUGA
rnacentral:lncRNA from 1 species